UACAGAGGGUGCAAGCGUUGUUCGGAAUUAUUGGGCGUAAAGGGCGCGUAGGCGGUGCUGUAAGUCUGUGGUGAAAUCUCUGGGCUCAACUCAGAGUCUGCCAUAGAAACUGCAGUGCUGGAGUGUGGGAGAGGUGAGUGGAAUUCCCGGUGUAGCGGCGAAAUGCGUAGAUAUCGGGAGGAACACCAGUGGCGAAGGCGGCGACCUGGACGGACACUGACACUGAGACGCGAAAGCGUGGGGAGCAAACAGG
rnacentral:rRNA from 1 species